rnacentral:rRNA from 1 species
AGUGAACGCUGGCGGUAGGCCUAACACAUGCAAGUCGAACGGCAGCACAGUAAGAGCUUGCUCUUACGGGUGGCGAGUGGCGGACGGGCGAGGAAUACAUCGGAAUCUACUUUUUCGUGGGGGAUAGCGUAGGGAAACUUACGCUAAUACCGCAUACGACCUACGGGUGAAAGCAGGGGAUCUUCGGACCUUGCGCGACUGAAUGAGCCGAUGUCGGAUUAGCUAGUUGGCGGGGUAAAGGCCCACCAAGGCGACGAUCCGUAGCUGGUCUGAGAGGAUGAUCAGCCACACUGGAACUGAGACACGGUCCAGACUCCUACGGGAGGCAGCAGUGGGGAAUAUUGGACAAUGGGCGCAAGCCUGAUCCAGCCAUACCGCGUGGGUGAAGAAGGCCUUCGGGUUGUAAAGCCCUUUUGUUGGGAAAGAAAAGCAGCAGGUUAAUACCCCGCUGUUCUGACGGUACCCAAAGAAUAAGCACCGGCUAACUUCGUG